rnacentral:rRNA from 1 species
UACAGAGGUCCCAAGCGUUGUUCGGAUUCACUUGGGCGUAAAGGGUGCGUAGGCGGUCGGGUAAGUCUGACGUGAAAUCUUCAAGCUUAACUUGGAAACUGCGUCGGAUACUAUUCGGCUGGAGGAAUGGAGGGGAGACUGGAAUACUUGGUGUAGCAGUGAAAUGCGUAGAUAUCAAGUGGAACACCAGUGGCGAAGGCGAGUCUCUGGACAUUUCCUGACGCUGAGGCACGAAAGCCAGGGG